AUGUCAGAUAGGAACAACCCCACACUCAGAAUCCUUACAAAACUUAAAACGUAUUGUAUUUAAUAUGUUUUAUCAUUGUAGGGUUGUAAACUUGAUAUUGUUUAAGAAGUAUACAAUUUCGUGAUAAUAAACUAUACUAAGCGUGAUUACCGCGAACAUAUUUUUUCAGUGCAUUCUUUAGACUUUGUCAUGUUUCUUGUUUACGUUCAACGUUUCCAAACAUUUUCACUAAUUCUCAGUCGUGUACGUCGCAAUUGUGUAAAGAAUGCGAAAACAUCGCUCAUGAUGCCUGCAUUGAGAAGUUGUGUCGUGAUAUAUUCGAUUCAUGCUCCGGAUCCUCCCCCGUCCGUGCCGGAUCAUUCUUUGGAUAGGCGAAGGCAACAACUUGGAUAUAACUAGUUGGCGGAAUUGCGUUUUCAACUUGCAAGAGAUAUUUUCUACAAUUUCCCCCCCUUCCGAGCUGGAUGUUCAAUUUCCCGGGAUACUGCUCCACAACAACACACCGACCAGCAACGACAGAGUAGAACCGACGAAACUAUCUUGGAAUUAGUCGCAGAUUACACAAUGGUCCUAAGGGCAAGCAGCGUAUCAAUCCCAAGUCUGACCAAUUACCGGUGCCAACAAACAUCUGAUUCAUCCGCUGGGCGAUGGGUAUAGCGGAAAAAGAACAACAUGUUCCGGUUUAGAUUGAUCAAUUUUUUCAUUCAUUAGUUUGUAUUUAAAUAAUGGAGCCUUUGUAUAAAAUAAAGAAUUAAUGUUCUUGGUUUUCCUUGUUUCAUAAAA